CGUAUUCGUUUGAACGAUGGGGGGACGCAGAAAGGUAGGGUGAGCGCGCCGCUGGCUGUGCGCGUCGAAGCAUGCAAGGCUGGAACAUAGGCAAAUCCGUGUUCCAUAAGGCUGAGCUGUGACCGUGAAGGACCUUCGGGUCCGAAAUCCCUGAUCCUCCGCUGCCGAGAAAAGCCUCUAGUGAGAAUACAGGUGCCCGUACCGCAAACCGACACAGGUAGGCGAGAAGAGAAUUCUAAGACGCUCGGGAGAACUCUCGUUAAGGAACUCGGCAAAAUGACCCCGUAACUUCGGGAGAAGGGGUGCUCUAGUAGGGUUAACCGCCCGAGAGAGCCGCAGUGAAAAGAUCCAAGCGACUGUUUAGCAAAAACACAGGUCUCUGCGAAGCCGUAAGGCGAAGUAUAGGGGCUGACACCUGCCCGGUGCUGGAAGGUUAAGAGGAA
rnacentral:rRNA from 2 species